CUCAUGGUACACAGUCCAGACAACAGUCAACCCUUAUAUACUUUCCACUCAUAUCUUCUUACAAUUAUAUCUCCAUCGUGUAUAUAUUUUACAGCAAUUGCUCCCAUUAGAAGCAACCCAUAAUUUGUCAAGCCUUUACUACACACUAAUUCCUCUUUCAUAAAUAUCAUCACCAUUUAAUCAAGAACAUAUAACUAUAAUAUUACUGGUAUUGAUGUUUGGUUUUUUUGUCUUUCAGAAACAGAAGAAAAAUGGAGACGAAAAAGAAAGGAUUCGCCGACGCAACAACGAUCGUCCUCCAACACGAAAAAGUGUAAAGGAGAGGAUUCAAAAUCAGUGCCAGCCGUCUCAACCGGAACCACACCGUGAAAAGCCACGAGCGACCUCUUCGCCGUCGGAUUUGCUCCGACACCUUCUCCAACCAUCGAGCACCGUCGAUACACCAUCGAAGCAGAUCUAAAAUUGAGAGAAACAUCUCACGAAGGAGAUGAAACUGUGUGAGUUUUUUUUUUAGUUUUUAAUUCCACCACGUGUCAACUUAUAGUUGGGUGGCCAGUGUUUUGAAUAGUCAAAUUUGUUACCAUAUUUCUAUUAUUAUGAAAAAUUGAGAAAAAGUGGCGAAGUUGGUCGAUUGGCUUCCCUCGGCAUUGUUGAUUUGUUUUAUUCUAUCUACUUUUUUUUUUCUCUAUUGCAAUACUAUUUAGUAAAUUGGGAUUUAUAGCACUACCCCUUCAUUUUAGGACUACACUCCAUGUACUCAUAUAUAUGGUUUCAGUAUAUUGUUCUAUUUUUUUUAUUUAAAAAAUACAAAGAGAAUACUAAUUUCCUUUUAUAAAGUAUGAGGUUCCAAAUAAUGUUGAAAUUUGUUCUUGCCAUUUAGUCUUAAUGUUUUAAUUAGUUUAGGUUAGUUGAAUUAUAAAAAACACAAAAAUACGUUGUUUAAUUUUUAUUUUUAGUUAAAAUGUUAUUGGUUUAUAUUUUAGAUUUUCUUCUAUUAUUAUUUUUUUCUUUCAUUUUUUUCUUUCUAUUUUCGUAUAUAUUCUUUUAUGCAUUGUUACUAACAUUUUCUUGUUAUUGCGAGGUACUACCAUCAUGAGCGUUGGACUGUUUUGCCGACAUUCAUAGCUUCUGCAUGUGUGGACUAAUCCAACGUUUCAGAGCCUGCAGUCACAUAGUGGACCUUCAAGAUUCGAUCACACCAGAAUAUUCAGCUAAGUUCUCUAACUUUUAUUUAUUUAUUUUUUUAAUUACAUAUUUCCUCUUUUAUUUUUCUUUCUUUUUCUUCUUUAUUAUUUUUUAAAGAAACUUCUUUUAUUUAAAACUUCUUAUUUGUAUUUGUAAAAUCAUAUUUUCAUGACUCUUUAAAUUAUUUAAUCGAACUUUUGAUUUUUUAAUUCGCAAAUAUAUUAAAUUAUUCACUUUUUAUAUUUAAACCAGUUGCUUUAAACCCUGAUAUUAUUUCUUUUCAUGAUCACUAAUCAUUGUUGCUGGUAGGUGUUGCCUAUUAACCAUGGUUAACUUGCCCCCUAAUCAGGGUUUACGAAGAUCACACCUACACUGAAGUACAUUCUUUGUGCACUUUUUUCAGGGUAAUCACCAGACACCUUCCGACUAUGCGCCUCGCCUAUUACGAAGCUAAGUCCCGAUUUUAUUAUUUUAUUUAAAUACCUGUUUGCCUUAUAAAACUGUUAUUAGGGUUAACCUCAAAAUUCAAUGGACUCUUCUUGCACUCACUUCUGUCUGCCUUUGCUUUGCCAAUUUUUCAGGGUUAACCCCGAGACUACGAACCAUAUCAGAUCAAAUUAAAAGCUAAGUCCUAUUUCAUAUUUAUUUUAAAUAUUCAUUCUAUUUUAUUUUGUUUCUUCCAUCCAAUUAGAGUUAGCCUUAAUUUUCGUUGAAUUAGCCAUACACUCAUUGUAUUUUAUUCUUCUGUCAAUUCUCCGAGGAUCCGAGUCAAUGCUCAAGGCAACCUCCGACUAUCAACCUUCAUCAAUCGAAGCUAAGUUCUUUAUACAGUUUUCUUUUUCUUUUAUCUUUAUAUUUCUGAUUAGGGUUAACCAUAUCUGCAUCUGGAUUAAUAAUGCACUCACCCUCGCUGUUUCUAUUUUUCCCACAUUUUCAGGGUUUGUUGACCGCCAAAGCUCUCUAUUUUUCUUAUUAUUAUUAUUAUUACUUAUGUCAAACCCACUAGUUUCAUCUUCCCUUUCCCCCGCUGGUUUCUUUUUCCCUUUCCCCAUAUUGAUUUAAUUAUAUUGUUUAUACUAUUGUGUGGUUAGUAAUCUUAUAUCUGCAUCUGGAUUAAUAAUGCACUCACCCUCGCUGUUUCUAUUUUUCCCACCUUUUCAGGGUUUGUUGACCGCCAAAGCUCUCUAUUUUUCUUAUUAUUAUUACUUAUGUCAAACUCACUGGUUUCAUCUUCCCUUUCCCCCGCUGGUUUCUUUUUCCCUUUCCCCAUAUUGAUUUAAUUAUAUUGUUUAUACUAUUGUGUGGUUAGUAAUCUUAGGGAGUGCAAGCCUAUUAAUCGAAUUAGAAUAACUGAUUAUAAGAUAAUAUAUUGAAUUAAUCACGUGAUUGUUGCACCCAUGCACACUUUGUGGUAACCCCUCUUGUUGCCUGUUGCCUGUUGCCUUGUUGCCUUGUGUUUUUGCAGAAUAGUCAUGUCCCUCGAAUACGAGGAUACCUCAGCAAAUGUUGCCCUCAGUUCAUUCAAAGGUCAUAAGUCCCUAAUGAUGCUGCCUUCGGUUCGCCAAAUAUGACCUCGUCCCUCGAAGUUGCCUACGAAGUGCUGAGGUAUCCUCUAGUUGCCUAAACGAAAGGCUAUUGUGAUCCUUCCCUUAGACUACCUGCCUCUCUAUGGCAUGGGACAGUCUUAUGGCGAAUGAUAUUGCGACGACCCUUCAACCUCCAAAUGAAAGGCUUCCUGCCCUCUUAUGGCAUGGAUAGACCCUUUCACCCCGAAAGGCUAAAAGAACAUUUUUCAUCUAACCAGGUAAUUGCCCCUAAUUGCUUUGCCUUGCUCUAAAACCUUUUUCAUAUUCUUUCUCAAACGUUCAAAAUGGCUACGCUCAUUUACGAGCUAAAGUCCGUAUUCACUUCUUCUACAUUUCUUUUCAAAAACGAGCAAAGCAAUUAAGAGCCCAUGGAAAACCAUGGAUGCAAAGGGUGCCUUACACCUUCCCUUUGCAUAAUUACCCCCCGAACUCAGUUUUUAUUUAAAAGAACAUUUUUCAUCUAACCAGGUAAUUGCCCCUGAUUGCUUUGCCUUGCUCUAAAACCUUUUUCAUAUUCUUUCUCAUAAACCUUCAAAAUGGCUACGCUCAUUUACGAGCUAAAGUCCGUAUUCACUUCUUCUAUAUUUCUUUUCAAAAACGAGCAAAGCAAUUAAGAGCCCAUGGAAAACCAUGGAUGCAAAGGGUGCCUUACACCUUCCCUUUGCAUAAUUACCCCCCGAACUCAGUUUUUAUUUAAAAGGUUUUUUCUGUUCUUUUAGCCUUUCCAAAUUGGAUAAAAUAAAAGUCGGUGGCGACUCUUGCUUACCGCAACAUUUCUAAA